AGAGGAAGGUCCCCCACACUGGAACUGAGACACGGUCCAGACUCCUACGGGAGGCAGCAGUGAGGAAUAUUGGUCAAUGGCCGGAAGGCUGAACCAGCCAUGCCGCGUGAAGGUCAGUGCCCUAUGGGCGUUAAACUUCUUUUGUGCGGGAGCAAUAAGGUCCACGUGUGGACCGACGAGAGUACCGUACGAAUAAGCAUCGGCUAACUCCGUGCCAGCAGCCGCGGUAAUACGGGGGAUGCAAGCGUUAUCCGGAUUUAUUGGGUUUAAAGGGUGCGUAGGCUGUGAGGUAAGUCAGCGGUGAAAUGCCCCCGCUCAACGGGGUGAAGUGCCAUUGAUACUGCCUUGCUGGAAUGCGGAUGCCGUGGGAGGAAUGUGUGGUGUAGCGGUGAAAUGCAUAGAUAUCACACAGAACACCGAUUGCGAAGGCAUCUCACGAAUCCGCUAUUGACGCUGAUGCACGAAAGCGUGGGUAUCAAACAGGAUUAGAUACCCUGGUAGUCCACGCUGUAAACGAUGAUGACUAACCGUCGGCGAUACACAGUCG
rnacentral:rRNA from 1 species